CAGGUUUGAUCACAGGACUCUUCAUAUUAAUAUCAUGGUCUCUUGCAAUGACUAUUGCAGUAAUAAUCCUAGCUUCUAGGAAUCCUAAGUGUAAAGAUCCAUGUCCUGAUAACUGGCUGCUCUACAAAGGAAAAUGUUACUACAUUUCUGAUGAAGUGAAGUAUUGGGAGACUAGUGAGGAAUUCUGUUCUCAACAAGAUGCUUUACUUGCUGUAAUUGAAAACAAAGAGGAAUUGAAUUUUAUAGAAAAGCUUGCUUGCAGGAAGGAUGCAUGGAUUGGACUCCACAAGACAAAGGGAAAACUCUUUUAGGUAAA